rnacentral:tRNA from 1 species
GGGCCCUUAGCUCAGUUGGCAGAGCAUCUGACUCAUAAUCAGGGGGUCGCAGGUUCGAGUCCUGCAGGGCCCA